AUAUAUAUAUAUUAGGAGUAGGAC
rnacentral:miRNA from 1 species